AACAAAUGCUUGGCUUAAGUUGUAACCUCAUGAUGACGCUUGACGCUAGCUUUCAGCGUCAAACUAUAGCUCCACCUAGCUGAAAUGAAUAAAAACACGUGCAGCGUCAAACGCCAGCGUCAAAUUAAAAAAAUCAGCGGCAAAAAAAUGUAUAAAUAUCGAAAGUCGAUAUCUCGAGGUAUACCUCGAAGCUAGUCCUUAACCUAAUUUUUAUAAUAACACAUGGUGAAUAUGAUUAUCAAUUGUGGAUUUAUCAGUGUCAAAAAAUAAUCCGUGAAGCAGAAAUAAAAAAAAAAAAUUAGGCGCAAAAGGAUUAUUAGUGCUUUAUUAUGCAAUGAACUAGUUAUACAAAAUUGUAGAAAAAAAUAUACACAAAAAAAAUUUUGGAUUCAUCCUUUAUUCAAAUUACGGCGAGAUUAUGGAUUUUUUGAGGCCAUAUUCCCAACUCUUUCUUCGUAUUCUGAAAAGAUUGAAAAUUACAUCCGAAUGACAGCAGUCCAAUUUGAAGAGCUUCUAUGUUUAGUUGGCCCGAAAAUAUCAAAACAAAAAGUUGUAAGAGAGCCUAUUUCAGCUCCAGCACGACUAGCUAUGACUUUGCGAUUUCUAGCAACUGGUGACUCAAUGUCAACGAUGUCGUAACAGUAUUUAGUUGGGUUAACAACAACAGCAAAUAUAAUUGUCGAAACUUGUCAAGCUCUAUGGAGUUGUCUUAAAGAAAAAGUAUUACCGUAUCCUUUGACUGAAUCUCAUUGGCUGAAAAUUGCUGAUGAAUUCGAAAAGCAAUGGCAAUUUCCACAUUGCAUUGGAGCUAUCGAUGGGAAACAUAUACACAUACAGUGUCCUGAUAAUGCAGGUUCUUCAUAUUACAAU
rnacentral:misc_RNA from 1 species